CAGGAAGUAGGGCAGCCUCUUGAGGUAGGCAUUGUGUGCUCUCUGUGUUACAGAUGAGAACACAGGUCUAGAGAAGGUCCUCAUUGUGGGCUGAAUUGUAUCCCCUGCCUUCAAGAUUCAUACGUUGAAACCCUAACCUCAGGACCUCAGAAUGUGACCGUUUGAAGAGAUUAGGACACAAACACACACAGAGAAGACCCAGUGAGGAUGGCCAUCUACAAGCCCAGAAGAGGCUCAGAGGAAACCAACCUUGCUGACACCUUGAUCUCUGACUUCUGGCUUCCAGAAUGUGAAGAAAUAAAUCUCUGUUUUUAAGCCA